rnacentral:rRNA from 1 species
CAAUAGCGUAUAUUAAAGUUGUUGCAGUUAAAAAGCUCGUAGUUGGAUUUCUGGCAGAGUGUCGUGAGCCUAUUCGGCUCAGCGCUCUACCAUCCUUCUGUUAACCUUCUCGGCAUUUACUUGCUCGGGUCGUGGGCUCAGAUAUUUUACCUUGAGAAAAUUAGAGUGUUUCAGGCAGGCUUUCGCCGGAAUACAUUAGCAUGGAAUAAUAGAAAAGGACUUCAGUCUCUUCUGUUGGUCUGAGUGGCUGUAGUAAUGAUUAAUAGGGAUAGUUGGGGGCAUUAGUACUUAACUGUCAGAGGUGAAAUUCUCCGAUUUGUUAAAGACUAACUUAUGCGAAAGCAUUUGCCAAGGAUGUUUUCAUUAAUCAAGAACGAAAGUUAGGGGAUCAAAGAUGAUUAGAUACCGU